AAGCUCGUAGUUGAAUUUCGGGGUCAGUAGGUUGGUCGUGCCACCGGUACGUACUGGUCUCACUGAUUCCUCCUUCCUGAUGAGCUGUAAUGCCAUUAAUUUGGUGUUGCGGGGAAUCUGGACUGUUACUUUGAAAAAAUUAGAGUGUUUAAAGCAGGCUAACGCUUGAAUACAUUAGCAUGGAAUAAUGAAAUAGGACGGUCGAUCCUAUUUUGUUGGUUUCUAGGAUUGACGUAAUGAUUAAUAGGGAUAGUUGGG
rnacentral:rRNA from 1 species